GACGAACGCUGGCGGCGUGCUUAACACAUGCAAGUCGAGCGGAAAGGCCCUUUCGGGGGUACUCGAGCGGCGAACGGGUGAGUAACACGUGAGUAAUCUGCCCUGGACUCUGGGAUAGCCACCGGAAACGGUGAUUAAUACCGGAUACAACCACUAUCCGCAUGGGGCGGUGGUGGAAAGAUUUUUCGGUCCAGGAUGUGCUCGCGGCCUAUCAGCUUGUUGGGGAGGUAAUGGCUCACCAAGGCUUUGACGGGUAGCCGGCCUGAGAGGGUGACCGGUCACACUGGGACUGAGACACGGCCCAGACUCCUACGGGAGGCAGCAGUGGGGAAUAUUGGACAAUGGGCGGAAGCCUGAUCCAGCAACGCCGCGUGAGGGAUGACGGCCUUCGGGUUGUAAACCUCUUUCAGUACCGACGAAGCGCAAGUGACGGUAGGUACAGAAGAAGGACCGGCCAACUACGUGCCAGCAGCCGCCGUAACAC
rnacentral:rRNA from 1 species